AUAGUCUAUCAAAAGUAGAGGUUGAAAGCUUAGCAUGUGAUCCACACAAUGAACACUGCUUUCUGGUGAAACUCUGGGAUAUAUCAAAUAACCAGCCUUCGUGCGUCACUUCAGUGUAUUCUAAACUCAUAUUUAUGGCUCUCAUACUUGCGUGGUUGCCGCUGAUCCUUGCUCCCGCCAUGCCAGUGAAGUCUUUCGCAAUUUAUUGUUGAGAUAU